GAUGAACGCUGGCGGCGUGCUUAACACAUGCAAGUCGAAUGGGAUCCAAGGGGUGCUUGCACUUUUUGGUGAGAGUGGCGAACGGGUGAGUAACACGUGAGUAACCUGUCCUUUUCUUUGGGAUAAGCAUUCGAAAGGGUGUUUAAUACCUUAUGUUCUGUCUGCCUCGCAUGGGGUGGGUGGGAAAGGCUUUGGCCGGAUUUGGGUGGGCUCGCGGUCUAUCAGCUUGUUGGUGGGGUGAUGGCUUACCAAGGCUUUGACGGGUAGCCGGCCUGAGAGGGUGGUCGGUCACAUUGGGACUGAGAUACGGCCCAGACUCCUGCGGGAGGCAGCAGUGGGGGAUAUUGCACAAUGGGCGAAAGCCUGAUGCAGCGACGCCGCGUGGGGGAUGAAGGCCUUCGGGUUGUAAACUUCUUUUGCUCUGAACAAGGCAUGCCAGUGGGUGUGUUGAGUGUAGGGGUUGAUUAGCGCCGGCUAACUACGUG
rnacentral:rRNA from 1 species